rnacentral:antisense_RNA from 1 species
GUCUGUGGCGGACUGUGCAAGGCAGGCUUCGGCCUGGCCGGCCUUACGGUAUCCCGGUCUUCCACCCUUGCACGGUCCGCCUCCCUU